UACGUAGGCAGCGAGCGUUGUUCGGAAUUACUGGGCGUAAAGCGCACGCAGGCGUCUCUUAAGUUUGGAGUGACAGUUGGUGGCUUAACUGCCAAAGUGCUUCGAAAACUGAGAGACUUGAGGGCUUCAGAGGGACACGGAAUUCCGGGUGGAGUGGUGAAAUGCGUAGAGAUCCGGAGGAACACCAAAGGCGAAGGCAGUGUCCUGGGGAGUACCUGACGCUCAGGUGCGAAAGCCAGGGGAGGCG
rnacentral:rRNA from 1 species